rnacentral:rRNA from 1 species
UACCAGCACCCCGAGUGGUCGGGACGAUUAUUGGGCCUAAAGCAUCCGUAGCUUGUUCUGCAAGUCCUCCGUUAAAUCCACCUGCUCAACAGAUGGGCUGCGGGGGGAUACUACAGGGCUAGGAGGCGGGAGAGGCAAACGGUACUCAGUGGGUAGGGGUAAAAUCCUCUGAUCCAUUGAAGACCACCAGUGGCGAAGGCGGCUUGCCAAUACGCGCUCGACGGUGAGGGAUGAAAGCUGGGGGAGCAAACCGG